GAUGCAAGCGUUAUCCGGAAUCAUUGGGCGUAAAGCGCCUGUAGGUUGUUUAAUAAGUCUGUUGUUAAAGACUAGGGCUCAACCCUAGGAAAGCAAUGGAAACUACUAGACUUGAGUAUGAUAGGGGUAGAGGGAAUUUCUAGUGUAGCGGUGAAAUGCGUAGAUAUUAGGAAGAACACCGGUGGCGAAGGCGCUCUACUGGAUCAUUACUGACACUCAGAGGCGAAAGCUAGGGUAGCAAAAGGGAUUAGAUACCCCUGUAGUCCUAGCCGUAAACGAUGGAUACUAGAUGUUGCGUUUAUUAUGCAGUAUCGUAGCUAACGCGUUAAGUAUCCCGCCUGGGGAGUACGCUCGCAAGAAUGAAACUCAAAGGA
rnacentral:rRNA from 1 species